UAUGCUGAAAUCAUUCACCAUCUUCUCUUUUUCUCCCCAAGAAAUCAACUAUCAUCUCUUUAUAUCUCUACAAAAUCAACCGGUCAUCUGCUUUGCUCAACGCCGCCGCCAUCCUCUACGCACCUUAGAUGUCGAGUGACCACCUGGUAUGGUGUUUGAUUUGUGUUUUUAACUUUUAAUCCAUCUAGAUCUUUUUUGUGUUUCAGGUGUUGGUCACCGCCGUUAUUGAAGUUAUAUCAUCAAGUAUUAGUUUAUAAAGAUAUUGAAAAGCUAUUCUUUUUCUCUACGAUCAUUGUUAUUUCCUCAUUAAUGACGAUUGUAUGCUGUAUUUUUCAGAUUUAGGAUCACAAAAGCAACACCCACUAUGGAUGAUGGGAAGUGGAAGGCUAGACUCUCUAGGUUUAAUUGUGCUUCAAGUGUUGAUCCUCUUGAAGAACAGAAAAGAAGAUAGAUAUGCAUCACUUCUCCACCACCAGGGUCUCUUUUUGUGUGUAAAGCCUCUCCAAAAUCCUUGAAGCCAACCGUCAUCACCCUCACCAACACUCUCCUCUAUCUCUGCACCCGCCACUUAAAAUCUUUUGCCUGAGGAUCAAAACAAUAAAAGGUCUGGUACUAAAAGAAACAUUAGUUUAUCGUAUCUACUGGUACCACCACUCAAUAAACCCAAUGUUGGUCACCUGCUAGAGUUUCUCAACUUCGUUAUGCCCCCUUUUGAGAUCUUUCUUAUCAAGAAAUCUGCAAAUGAAACAAAUAAAUGAAGAGUUUGGUAUCAAGUUCAAACAUGUUGUAGAUUAUGUUUAUGUACAUUUGUUUGUCACUUUUUUGCUUGAUUUUUUUUACCCUUUUUGUGUGCUCGUAAUGAAAAUCGGUAUUAUUUUGUUUUUUUUUUUCAGUCCAGUGCAGGAAUGGUUCAAAUCGACCACCGGCUUUGAUUUUGUACUUACUUUAUCAUUGUGGUUAUCAGCUUUCCCAGGUUCGAUUUAAAUUUAUAAUCAAUUUUGCAAUUGUUGUUUCCUUUAUCUUAAAACAAUACGAGAUGCAGGUGAUGUAAAGGGUAAACUAGGUUGCUAUGUAAACGGUAAACUAAUUGUUAAUCAUUUUAUAAUACAUUUUUAUUAUCUUAAACUUAUUACCUCCAACUUAUGAUGCAGGUGAUGCAAACUAAUUAUUUCUUUGAUUAAUUUUUGUGGUUGUGUUGGUAACAAAGGUAUCAUUUUUUUAGUUCGUAGUUUUUAGUUUAGUUAUUUAUUUUAUUACCUUUCUAAAUUAUUGUUUGGUCCAUUUUGAUUCUUCCAUAGUGUCCUGUCAAUGUGCAUCAAUUGAGUGGACAAGCCCAGCUACUCUGGCUGAUUUUUUAGGGCUUGAUCCUUCUAAGGUAUGUAUUUGUUCCCUUAUAGCCAUAAUAUUCUUUAAUUUUUUUUUAAAUACUAUCAUUGAGUCAUAUAUCUAUGAUUUUGUCUUUAUUUUUUGAAUAAAAUUUACCAAAAUAAGUGAAAAUAAACUUGUAAAUUGUUGAUAUCAAGUAAAAAAGACAAGUUGACUUGCUUAUAUCUACAGACUACAGGGGACUAAUGAGGCUAUUUGAACAUUUCAAUAAUUAUGAAGGUUUAUAAGUCAAUAAUGUUUUCAUUUGAUUUUGAGUUGAUUAUAAUUAAUAUGUGAUUGAUUUCAUAGAGAUUAUCAUCACAAACAUGUUUAAACAAAGGAUGGUAGCGUGAAAGCAAGAAAUAGUAUUUUUAAUGUAUGUGGCUCACCAUUUUAGCUUUUAUCGUGCAUGUAGAAAAGGUGUCGUGAAGUUUCCUAAUUUGUGACAGAGUUUAAUGUUGUUGCUCUUCAUAGAGGCGGAAUUCAAGGCGAAACCGAGGUUGACAACUACUCAAAAAUCAAUAUAUCUUUUAAUGACAACAACUCAAAAAUAGCUACACACUUAUUAUUAUUGUUUUGUUUCUUAUAGCAUCCUACUUUCGAGUGAUAGAGGCUAAAAAACAAUCUCUCUUUCAGUGGCUGUCAAAUAAUGUCUGAUUACAAAUUGUUUAUUUGUUAUUUCAUAGCAUCUUACUUUUAUUGAUUUUUUUAUAACAUCAUACUUUGGUUUGAAACCUUGAAUGCUUAAUUAAAGAUUAUUGCUUAUUGAUUUGUUUUUAUA
rnacentral:lncRNA from 1 species